rnacentral:lncRNA from 1 species
AGCACUUUACGACUGGCAGGAGGCGGAGAUGACAGACCGCUCCAGGAACGAGCUAUAGAGCGAUCGCAUACCCCCCGCAAGGCCCUCCAGGACUCGCUGACUCCCGGGCAGAGGUCAAGGGUCAGGAAUGGGUCCAGCUGUGCGCCUGGAAAGGACCCAGCGUGCCCACGCUCCCGGCAAGCCAGGACUCAAACAUCCCCAAAGGGCGUCCGGGCUGAUGACGAUAGCUCCCAAUCGCCCUCCAGACGCACACUGGCAGGAACAACCGGAGGGACUUCCCUGACCGACCCCGCGUUUGCUCAGCUUUGA